rnacentral:rRNA from 1 species
UAGCCGGGUCUCCUCGGGUGCUCUUGGUUGAGUGUCUUGGGGCGGCCUGGCCCGUUUACUUUGAGCAAACAGAAGUGAUCAAAGCAGGCAGUUCACAAAUGUGUGCCACUGAACUGGUCGUGCAUGGAAUAAUGGAAUAGGACCUCGGUUCUGUUGGGUUGGUUUCUGGAGUCCGAGGCAAUGAUUAAAAGGGACAGACGGGGGCAUUCUUAUUGCGGCGGGAAAGGUGACAUUUUUAUUUCGCCGCAAGACCCUCUACUGCGAAACCAUUUGCCAAGAAUGUUUUCCUUAUUCAAAAAACGAAAGUCGGAGGUUCAAAGACAAUCAUAUCCC